rnacentral:lncRNA from 1 species
UUUUAUUUGUUUGUGUUUUGAUAUAGGUCGCACUUUUUCCCUAGGCAACAAGUAUGCGACUAUAUCACCUUCCUUACCUUGCUUUUUCUGUUUGGCCGUUUUUGCACCUGUUUGUUUGCACUUGCACUAUAGAACCCCCUUUAGGCAUUCCCCUCCUCUAUGCUACUUUUCCCUCUCAUCUCUUUCCUCAACUAAAGACAAGCAAGACAAUAUGCACCAAGGAUUCCACCUCGGCGACCAACAAGCACUGAAGACUUUUGCUACAACCUCCUCGACCAAGUAUAACCCCGUAUGUUUACACCUCAAUAUUAGAAACCUAUUCCUAUACCCUUCGAGACUUCAUAAGAUACCCUAGCUCGAAUGCUUAACCAUGUGCUUAACCCACAAAAAUGCAAGAGAACCAGCUAAGCCUCCGUAACCUUGCACUGGGUUCAUUAGGGAACUAGUGGACAUAGUGAACAAGCGCAUUAUCACCCUAAGAUAGCACCAAAACUGACGAUGCCAUAGGGAAGACCAAUUUAAGGAUUUGGGAACAGAGGACUAAUGACUUGAUGAGUUUGUGUCAGUGACUUUGAGGAAUUAUCUGAUACUUUUGGUGGAUUAUAAGGCUUUCAUGUUGAACUUGGUGGAAUCAUGUUAAUAGGGUAGCAUAGCUUUCAGUACCCCUGAGUAAAUUGGAUUUAGUAGGACAAUUACGGUCGCAAGAUGAAAUUCUUGGAAGUAUUUGGAUUUAACUUAGCCAUGAGGAUAUGAAUAACAUGAGUGAUGAUUGGAGUUGACCUAUAUGAGAUGAUUCUUUUGGUAAUAUGAGGUGAAGACUAGGUACAACUAUUGGCAUCUCAGAAACUGUGCUCAAGGAUGGGAUGAUAAACAUUCACUCGCACACUAGAAUCCUUGAAACCCUUACGCCCUACCAAGCCACAACAUGGUCGGAUCCUGACCUUGGGCUUUGGCUCUAGAUCGAUAAGACCUUGGUCAAUACUCAACCGUGACCAUCACCAAUGCCUCAGCCCACUUUACGUACCCCAUAGACUUCAUGGAGUGCUUGGACAAGUUAGUUGCCAUCUUUCUUUGAUGACAUACUUACUCGAAGAUGUAAGAAGAAUCGUUGAGCUGGUCAAGGAACAUCUGAAGAUUGUCAUGCCAAGGAGGAAGGACUACCACCAUCAUCAAGAAGUAAACAUCCGCGUCGAAGACCAGGUGUAUCUGCAAGCCACUUCUCUCUAAGGAACCAAGUAUUUCCAUGACAAGGAGACCCACACCAAGAUUCAUUGGCCCCCUUUUGAGAUCACUACAAUUAACAACCCCCUCUAAGAUCACUACAAGACGUAAAGAAGACAGUUACCAGCUGGAGUUGCCACCUGAGUUACCUGAUGUGCACAAUGCUUUCCAUGCAUCACAACCCCGGAAGUGUUUUCAACUUCCUAACUUGCCCGAUCUCUACGAGAACAUUAACCACCGAGCCAUCGACCCUAGCCCAAUCUAACCUACCGCGAGCUACCCAUUAGCAACCUGGAUCAAGAAGAGCGUCAUACACGAAGCCACACCAUCAAGUACUUCAAGCUCAAUGGAGCACUACACGGAAGCAGAAGCAACAUGAGGACUUGAAGACUACCCCAGAUCCAAGUUUCUGUAUCCCUUUCCACGCCGAGUUUGGGAAUCUCGGGGACGAGAUUCUUGUAAGGGGGGUAGGUCUGUCACACCCUGAUUUUCAUGCCACUACACUUAAGCUAACAAUCAUGAUAAAAUGUGGUUUGACAAAAACUUUUGAGUGUUUUGGACCUUGCCUUGAUUGGUUUUUGUGUGUUGUUUGCAAGUGCUCUAAAAAUAAAAUAAAUACUCCAACUCUUAUACUCCUUCUCCUUGAUCCAAAAACCUUUCCCAAUGAUCAUGCCAUGUGUAUAGGACAUAAAAAUAAUUUCUUGCAAAAAUAAUUUGGCCAAAUAGUAUUUUCAAAAAUUAGUUUUUUCAAAAACCCCUGAAUUGAGAUUUGCACUGCAAGUACUUAAUUAAGGGCAGUAAAAAUCUUUACAAAAAUAUAUUUGACUCCUAUUAGAUAUAGGACACCCAUAAACCACAAAAAUAUAAUUUUAAAAGUUAUUUUACAAUUUUUUAAAAGCUUUUUCUUAAGGCCAGAAAUGGUAUUUAAUAGGGAAAAAUUAUUUUAUUGUUUUACAAAUAUUUGAGAAAAAUCAGGGAAACUCAGUGGGCAUAUAUUACCCAUAUAUAAGAGUUUGAACACAUCGUCAUGUUCAAAAUAUUGGACAAAACCUCCCAAAACCAUUUUUGCCAAUUUCAUGGAUUUGAAAUAUUUCUACAGGAAAUAUAUUCAUAAAAAUCCAAGAAAAUUCCAUCAUGUCACAAUUGUCCUAUUUGGUGAUCUUGCCAAGUCUCAUGUCUUGGAGAACAAGAUAACAUCAUCAAAUCCCCUCAAAACCAUUUAUGUCCAUUUUGAAGUUUGAGAAACUUUACAUUGCCAAACAUGUCCAAAUGUUCUCAAACCUUUUGAACAUGCUCAAAUGGUCUAAUCAUUCAUCUAGACCAAAUGGCACAAGUUGGAGAAAAUGUUAUAUUGAUCAAGUGCCCCAAAACCCUCUCUGACCAGAAUCUAAUUUGAACAACUUUGUUCUACCAACUUUCUCUCCUUGACCCCAACUUUGGUGAGCAUAUUCACAUGACCAAAUGAGGACACUACACCAAGUGGUGCAUCAAGGAGAUGUGAUUUUCUCAACUAGAUCUGCACAAAUUCAUUUCUGCUGAUUUCUAGGGUUUACAAAAGUUGCAUUGGCAACUUUGCCCAAAUGGACUCAACCUUGGUGUAACCUAUUAUUAUCUCAUUCCAUUUGACCCUGUCAAGCCUCAUGACAAGAGGAGUUCAUCUUGUUGCCCAAAACCAUACCAGACACCUUCUGUAUAUUAACUAAAAACCCUGUUUGGGGCUCUUCCACUAAUCUCCAUGAGCUCCAAUUUUUACCACAUACCCUCCUAGUCCCCUUGCACCUCCAGUAGCAAUGGAAAAUCCACAGCUCAAUUAUUGGAGGGGUAAAACCCCACUUUCUCUCUCUGGACAACUCAUUUCCCUCUCUCCCUCAACCUCUCUCCUCUCCUACUGGCUGUCCAGGGCAUCCAAGGCCCUCUCCCCUUUGUUUACUCCUCCCUAAACAACCUAGACACAAGUGGCCGCGCCCUACAAGCCAAAGGCCUGCCCUGGCAUGCAAUUGGCAUGCUCCAGAGCGCGCUACAGUGCACACCGCACUGUAGCCGCCCCCUUCCAACCGCCUCCGGCCACCUCGGGCCUCCCCAGCGCGCCCGACGAUGCGCCUCGACGUCUAAGACACGCCACGCCUCUGUACCCCUCCUUCUUCUCCCUCCUCUUGCCCCAGCUCGCACGCGCGCCGGCCGCCCGAGCGCUCCAAUGAGCGACCUCACACGCGUGGUGCCCCUGCCCCCCCUGCUCUCUCUAUUCUCUCCCCUAGCUCUAGACCGAAUCCAGGAACACCCAGACACACCACGACGAGCUCCCGUGACCCGUGGCGACGGCAAAGAGCACGCCGGCGCACGGCCCCGCGGUGCACCUCGCCCCCUUAUAUUUAAGGUCACCCCGAGCCUCUUCUCCACUCCUUUGGUUCUCUCUCCCUCCCGUGCACCCCUUGGACCAACCCACACCUCCCCUCGUGCCCUCCUGCUCCCUCCAUGGCCGGAGUGCUGCCAUCGGGCUCCGCCUAAAUUCCGGCUAUCCCGAGCCUCUCCUCUCUCCCUAGACACUCCAGUGCCCCCUCACCACCACCAACGACCCGCCCCGCAACCUAUUACCUCCUCCCCAGCGCCUGCCGCGCGGUGCCAAAUCUCGCCGACGGCCUCCUCCGCGGCCACCCAAGCCAUCGCCGCUGCAGCCUCCCACGGCAUGCGUGCAGCACAUGGAUGGGUGCGUCGUGGUCCGCUGGGCACGCCGGUGGGCAGAGCAUCACCGGAGACGCCCUGUGGUGCCGGCAAAUCGCCGCUGACGCCGCCCCUUGCCUCUGCUCUGUUCGAGCGGGAGGUUGAGGAUGAAUCGACAGGUGGGCCCCGCGCGUCGGCGAUCCAGCGGCUGGGCCCGCCCGUUUAAGUGGAGACGGCUUCGGCCGGAUCUGCUUUCCUCGCGCGUUGGCGCAUGCUGUGAACCCGCCUCCGACGUCACCCAAUCUGCCCGUCCAGCCGAGCCACUGGACCGGCCCACUGCUAAACUCCACCCAGUGCGCUGGAUAAGGGUAAAACCCUUUCCCUUUUCCUUUUUUAUUUUCUGUAAACUUGUAAAAUCCAUAAACAAUUCAAAUAGUGUCCAAAUUUGAUGAUUCAAAUUUCCAGAGACUCCAUAAAUCAAGUCCUAUUUAAUAGGCCAUAGUGGACAUUUUUGUUGUCCAAUGUUUUCACUGAACCUCUUAAAAAGGUCAUUUAUCCACACAAGUCCACUUCAAAAAUCCACAUUAUAUUCAUUUCAACUCCAAAUCCAGUGAAACCAAUUUCUAAAUGUUUCUAAAAUCAUGCCUGAAUUAAUGGGUACUUUUACUCAUUUUUAUAAAAUGGCAUUUUGUGUACAACUUGUGGAUCCAUCAAAUCCAUUGAUUCCAUCAUAUUGAAAUGUUUAGAGAUGUCCAUUGAUCAAAUCCUAAUGAAACCACUUUGGUCACCCCUCAUAUGACCAGAGGUAUCCAAGAAAAGUCCAACUCAUAUUUUUAGAGCACUUUUAUUUUCUGCCUUGCUGUGUUGCUUAUUAUGAUUGUUUCGAUGUUAGUUGAUGAAGUAGACGGAGUACUUGGAGAAGGACCAGAAGAUUUCAAGACUCUGAUGAACCAGGAAAGCAGCCCUUUGACCAUGUCUCUGAUAUCCUUUUUAUGCAUGUCAUAUGGCACCAUAUUGUUGUUGCAACGGAAUCAUGAUGAGGUGGUAACCACUUUGAUGGUUUGCCACCGUACUUCCUCAUUGAUACUUGCAUUAUGCAUGACCCUAACUUCUUAUGAGGGUUAUGCCGGUAGGAGUAGAUAGGAUGCUAAAGUAGAUGCUACGCAAAAAGGGACGGGUAUAUGCAUGGUGAAGGAGACAAAGUAUUUUCAAAAGACUUUUUCGAAAACUCCGUCAGGUGCCACUUAUGCCCGAGGGAGAUGGUGAGAUGGGUAACCACUUGAUGACGAAGUGGUGUACCGAGGCAAGUGUGUGUGUUGUUUUCGAAAACGGAUUAGAUUUAAGAUUUGUCGACUGUCCCAACCUUACAUGCGCAACCACUCUACCAAUAUAUGGGAAAGGGCAUUAUUGAUUACCUAGGCCGAUGCUAGCUUGGAGCCCGCAUUACUAGUGACGGGGGAGAGUUGGUGCUCUCUCUCGGGACGGGGUCAUGCCAGGUAGGGCGGCCAUGACUGUCUUUAGAGGGCAACGGAUACAACGUUGUGUCCCCUCUCGGAUGUUACAAUCUCGAGUGAGUCUCGUAUGAUGUACAUCGUGAGGAUACGGAACAACGAGUGGACUCCUUGUUAGUGUCGUCUAGGGAAAGAUAGUGAUCGGGUGCUUACCCCGGGUACUUGACGUAUCGCGGGUCAUGGAUGACACGGAAGUCCCCUGGAUCUUGUGGGUAUAGUGUGCAACCUCUGCAGAGUGUAAAAAUAUUCGAAUAGCCGUGUCCACGGUCAAGGACAGUUGGGCGGUGCUGCUUAAACUACGUCUAGAGUUUCACAACCGGGUGUGUGUGUUGAUAAAACUACUCGGGUCAAGUCAAAGGACUUGACGUGAUUGAGAUGGGUUGGUGCCCACUCUAUUUAUGUUGAUACCUGUAACCUGUCCUCAUGGUUACUUGAAUUCUCUUGAUGCAUGUCUUACAAGUUGUUGAACAUGUCAUUGCACUCAAAACUAGCUUUCUGCAAAAAUUUACCUAUAUCAUGCAUUUUUGUAUCUUGAACCAAAACAUGGGUUGCUUGCGAGUACAUUCAAAGUACUCAUUGGCUUGCCACUGGUUAUUUAAUUGACUAGGCAUGGAAGAACCAGAGUUCGAAGAAGAGUUCUUUGGAGACGAACAUGCGAACUAGGACGCUUUCCAAAUCAGAUAGCCUGUAGGGUUAAGGCAGAUGGCAUGGGUCCAAGUUAUCGACGAAGAUUUCCGCUGCAAUGUUAUACUCAAGACUUGACCAUAAUGGUCCUACUUGUGUAAAACGGUAUGUAUGGAUGUAAGACUCUUGUUAUUCAGCUUCUGUGUGUUCAGUGAGCAUUGAUCUCUGGGAUCACUUUACACGUGCAUUCGGUGAUCUCGACUUAUGAGUCGGGGUCCCCACAGAGCUGGUAUCAGAGCCAUCCUGACUGUAGGAAGCCUUAGUUAGCAUGGUCGUUAGUUAGGGUAAAACUAUUUCCAUAACAACUACUAGUUUUCAAAACUAACUAUACUUCUCCUCCCUUCUCAGUUUUUCGAAAACUAAGGUAUACUUUCCUUAUUAAUCUCUUCCCCUUCAAAACCUUUGGUCGCUAGAACCCUUAUGCCCUGACCACUGGAUUCCUUGUAAUCCUCGUGGAUAAUCUAGAAGGAAGAUGCCUUGCCAGACGUUCACCCACAUCUCCUGAACACAAGAUUGGCGACAUCACAACAAGACGAUACCAACAGAAGAUACAUCCUCAAGGAAUGAGGACCUGAAGACCCAGGAGAUGGUGACACCCUUGACACUGCCCCAAGAUGAUGCAACCUUAGCCUACGAUGAUCAGGGCAUAGGAUAUGCAAGAUCAUGAUAUACUUCACUAAUAGAGUAACCCUGCCACUACCGUUGUUGUAUCGGCAACCACCGAUGGAUGAGAACCUAGCCAUUUGGUCCGCCUCACCAUAGUGAGCAGGAAAAUGGUUCUCCUCAUCCCCCACUCUUGGUGUCGAUGUUGUCAUCAACGUAACCGACAUGAUGGACCUCUAUUAUGCCUUGAUAAUGUCAUUGCAUAAAGGAUUACCUACCUGGUACCAUCGACGGCUUAGAAGACAAAAAGGGAUCGUCGUGAUUAAGAAGACAAUAGAAGACCAAGACAAUGCCAGUUACGAGGAGCCACCGUCACCCCAUCACUUCAACAGGCGAGAAGUUGCUGAAGACUCUUCAGGCUCAACCUAGAUCGUUCCGUCAAACAACUACAGGAGACAUAGUGACACCUGAGGAAAACUCAUAAGACUGCAUGAGGCACAAGGCACGACUACUGAGUCCGAGAACCCCUAGGGUAGGAUGAGUCGUGUACCCCCUAUGCGCAGUCGAGUCCGUAUGGUAGUUCGAAUAGAACCAUGUUGAGUGUUGCUUGUUUUUAUUUGUUUGGGUUUUGAUAUAGGUCACACUUUUGCCCUAGGCAACAAGUAUGCGACUAUAUCACCUUCCUUACCUUGCUUUUUCUGUUUGGCCCUUUUUGCACCUGUUUGUUUGCACUUGCACUAUAGAACCCCCUUUAGGCAUUCCCCUCCUCUAUGCUACUUUUCCCUCUCAUCUCUUUCCUCAACUGAAGACAAGCAAGACAAUAUGCACCAAGGAUUCCACCUCGGCGACCAACAAGCACUGAAGACUUUGGCUACAACCUCCUCGACCAAGU